CACCGCCCUUGGUUUAUUGGUGCAGCGGGCCUGGAGUGCCCGCUGGCAGCAGAUGCAGGCUGUGCUGGAGCGGUUGGGCAGGGG
rnacentral:tRNA from 1 species